UACGUAGGGGGCAAGCGUUGUCCGGAAUUAUUGGGCGUAAAGCGCGUGUAGGCGGCCAGAAAAGUCCGCUGUGAAAACUCGAGGCUCAACUUCGAGCUGUCGGUGGAAACUUUCUGGCUAGAGUCCGGAAGAAGAGAAUGGAAUUCCUGGUGUAGCGGUGAAAUGCGCAGAUAUCAGGAAGAACACCCGUGGCGAAGGCGGUUCUCUGGGACGGUACUGACGCUGAGACGCGAAAGCGUGGGGAGCGAACAGG
rnacentral:rRNA from 1 species